UGAGGAAUAUUGGACAAUGGGUGAAAGCCUGAUCCAGCCAUCCCGCGUGAAGGACGACGGCCCUAUGGGUUGUAAACUUCUUUUGUAUAGGGAUAAACCUUUCCACGUGUGGAAAGCUGAAGGUACUAUACGAAUAAGCACCGGCUAACUCCGUGCCAGCAGCCGCGGUAAUACGGAGGGUGCAAGCGUUAUCCGGAUUUAUUGGGUUUAAAGGGUCCGUAGGCGGACUCGUAAGUCAGUGGUGAAAUCUCAUAGCUUAACUAUGAAACUGCCAUUGAUACUGCGGGUCUUGAGUAAAGUAGAAGUGGCUGGAAUAAGUAGUGUAGCGGUGAAAUGCAUAGAUAUUACUUAGAACACCAAUUGCGAAGGCAGGUCACUAUGUUUUAACUGACGCUGAUGGACGAAAGCGUGGGGAGCGAACAG
rnacentral:rRNA from 1 species